GCUGAGGGGUGUGCCCGCGGGAGGGCCUACGCGUCGCCGCGGCAACAGCGGAUUGGCGGCGCCGCGGACCAAUCGCAGUGCCCCGAGUGCAACGCCCUGCCGUUCACCUGCGCGGCGGCGGGGUGGAGCUCACCUGAGGCGACGCGCGGUAGGGGCUGUCCGACGUCCGCCAUCUUGGGGAGGAGCCGCCCGCCCCCACUCACCUCGGCCCGGAGGCAGCCUGGCAUGGCGGCGGGCGUCGUGUUGUGUGGGGCUGGUGCCUGGGGUGCUUCCUCCUAAGGGCCAGUGGAGGCGGCCGUAAAACAUUACGAAACCGAUUUUGCAGACAGCCCUUUGUUACAGCCCUUUGAAAGGACAGCGAAGUCACUUCAGUGGACCUCGGAGCACCCAAAUCCCACAGAUUCCACUGAAAUUCAUGCUCCUAAUGUUCCCUGUUCACAGAUGCUUAAUUAUCAACAGACUAAUUUAAUGUAACUAAACCAGACCGAUUUUAAUCAAUAUAAAUGUAAGUAUGUAAAUAAAUAUAAAAAGAAUGUGCAUUUUUUUGAAUCAGUCACCUAAAAUGUCUGUUUUCUCACAGAUGGCAUAUUGGGAAGCCUGAGCCAACUGUUUCUGCAGCAUUCAGAACUGAACUGAUUCCAUCGUUCCUGCAGAGCAAAGAGGCUCUCCCUCCUGUAGGUCUCUCCAUGUGCAAGAGAGGAAUUCAGAGGACUAGAGUGGGUCAGAAGAGUUUCUUGCUUGAGUUAGGUCAUCCACUUAGAAGCACUAGAUCCCACUCACAAUUUAAAGAAAUGUGGUUUGUGAGGGCAAGUUCUUGAAUGAAGAUCUUCCACAGCUGGAAACUUUGCUUUUGCUAGUCUUGCUGGCAGCUCUCAUGUCAGGCUCAGAUCUUCAGAGCUAUUUUCAUGAGAUGAAAGAAAUCUUAAUUAAGUGUUCGUAUCUUUGUUAGCCAGACUCGGAAUGAGAACUGAUGCAUUUCCCAUGAGCUUCACUGCUUGUUAUACCCUGCAGACAACAAAGAUACUGAGAAGAAUAAUGUGAAUGUCAUUUAACAUCCCAAAGCGGUUUUCUACAACUGGAUAGGUUGAUGUGGAACUAUUGAGUGGGGAAAAAAAAUAUAUCUCUCUACUGUCUCUUUCUCUCAUUAAAAAAAAAAAAAAAAAAAAGAAAGAAAGAAAGAAAGAAAGAAAGAGAGAAAAGGAAAAAAAAAGAAAUAAAAGAGCAUUUAGAGAAUGAUUGCAGUGUUUCCUGUAAAAUGGAGAAGAGAGCAUAGUUCAAUAACUUCAGCCCUGCGAAAGAUACCAGUUCCUCCAUGCCACUGGCACACCUCAGGGAAGACAAUUCCUUCUCUUUAAGCAUUAAUUCUCCUCUUUUGCUAGUGCUAGAGAAGAUUUGUGAGGCUAAAUAUAGUAAUAAUUCUGAAGGAUUCAACUCAGCUUGCAGUCAUGACAGCCAGAGCAAACUACCAAGAGAGAUAGAAUGAACUGUUCUUCCCAAAUAGCAAAAAGACCUUGGCAGUCUGGGAGCAGAUCGUCCGCUUCUUACAACAGUAAGAGUAGAAGGUCCUAGACAUACCAACUAGUGAUAAGCAGCUGCAAAAGGAUUCCAGAUCCCUUACAAGCACAGCACUUAACUCUUCCAUCCAUACAUACUGAGAGGGAAGGAGUUUGGAGAUGGUGGUGUUCCUUAUUACCCAGGCUGGUGAAGUGUUUCAAAAUCUACGUCUAGACAGAAAAUUUUAAUUCUGUCUUGAGAGUGCAUGUCAGUGUUUUACCAAACAUAAAGUAUUAUUUUUGAAUUAUCAUAUUCAUAUAGUUCUGUUUGAAUAUAAUCAUACUCAAAAAUAACGUAAUAGCAGAAUAGCUAGGGUCAUGUAAAUAAGAUAGAUACCAGGUUGCAUUCUCCUUCCUGCUCCUCCAUGAUUCAUUUUCAUAAAAAAAAAAAAAGAGUCCAAUGCCUGUAAGACACCAAACAGUACAGCAUGAAGGCUGUUCUAUGCAGAUUUUUGAGAUUCCAUUUUAUUCCAUCUUUUGUUCCAUUCUCAAUCUAUCCGUGGCUAAAAUAUGUAUGGAGUUAUACUGUAGCCAUUAAUUCUUGACUGUGUGCACUGAGUUAUUAUUAGGUUGCAUAUGAAAAAUGAGGCGCUGUUCUCCUUCAGCAUUUUCUGUGCAUGUUUGAAUAAGGGAAAAGCUGCACACCAUGGCCUGAUAAUCUUGUGUAGUCCGUGAGCAUGGUUCAUACUGCUUUAUAAAGAAAACGCUGUGCUGUAUGGGGCUGGGGAAACUGAGGAACAGUGAGAUCAAGUGAUGUCACCACAAAGGCUGGUGAAAGUGAUAGGAGCAAUUCUCCUGUCCUGUGGAUGUGAAAAUACCUGGGCCGAGAGCACGGAUUGGAUUGAUGAUAAGAGGGGAUUGGAGUAAAAGCAAAGCGUUAACAUGAGGAAACAAACAAACAAAAAAAAAAAAACCCACUAAAAUAUGCUAGGUGGGAGAAAAGCUUUCCUGUUCGUGACUCACAGUGAAGUCCUACAUAUCCUGAACUACCAAAUCUUACCACCCUUCUUCUCCAAAAUGGAUCCUGCUAGAAGAAAACAGACGAAUCCAAGCAUUCAGUGAUUUCUUGUGUAAGAGAGAAGAAUGUAUCACAAUGAGUUUUGUGGUUACUGGAUUUUACUUUAUUGAAUUAAACAACAUCAAUUUGGAUCUCUAAAGUAAUGCUCCAAUCAUCUUUCCUUUUUGUUUCAGUUGAUUGCUGUUAACAAUAUGAAUUAUCUGUUACUACAGAUACAUUCCAAACCUUUUAACUUGUAACAGAUGGUUCAGAAAGUCAGGGCUAGAAAAGCAGCUAAAAUAUGACACCAUGAUGUAACACUUUUGUUAACACAAGACUGUUUCUGGGUUACUUGUACUCUCAUGCUCUCUUAAUAUCAAUAACUGAAAAAAAGUUCCCAUAUUCAUUUGCGGAAUCAAAGUUUGCUAACCCAGAAAAGCUAUACUUCAUUUAAAUCAGCCUUCAUACAGCUGAGGAGAAAUAAAAAUGUCUGAAAAUAA